rnacentral:rRNA from 1 species
UACGGAGGGUGCGAGCGUUGUCCGGAAUCAUUGGGCGUAAAGGGCGCGUAGGCGGCUUGAUAAGUUUGCGGUGAAAGCCCGGGGCUCAACCCCGGGUCGGCCGUGGCAACUGUCGAGCUGGAGCACUGUAGAGGCAGGUGGAAUUCCGGGUGUAGCGGUGGAAUGCGUAGAGAUCCGGAAGAACACCGGUGGCGAAGGCGGCCUGCUGGGCAGUGACUGACGCUGAGGCGCGACAGCGUGGGGAGCAAACAGG